rnacentral:lncRNA from 1 species
GUUGAACUGCCACACCAGCUCAAACAGUGGCAUGACUGAAUCAAUUGGUAUAUUCACGACAAGGAGCCUGGAAAGCGAUCUCCUCCCAGAACUUACACAUGGUGAUGAAGUCAUUUCUUAGAAUAUACCUAGCCCAGGACUCUUGCUGCUCCAGAGCAUCCCAGCAACGGGAAACCCCCCAGACAUCUUCCCAAUGUCUCCCGCAGUCCAUUUGUCAAGGAAGUGAAGAUAAUUUAAAAGGAUCCGCAGAACUUGGACCCAGUCUUCUAAAGGAACCGGAGCAACUGUACAUGUGCAGUCACAGAGCAAGGGUGUGACAUGCUGGAGGUAGAGGGUGAUGGAGCCUGGAUGGGGCGCGGGAAACUACCUCUUCAUCAUUUCCCUUUGUUGUCCUUACUUCUCUU